GGGGAUGUGGCUCAAGUGGUAGAGCACUCGCCUAGCAUGCGUGAGGCCCUGGGUUCAAUUCCCAGCACCA
rnacentral:tRNA from 1 species